AACGAACGCUGGCGGCAUGCCUAACACAUGCAAGUCGAACGAGACCUUCGGGUCUAGUGGCGCACGGGUGCGUAACGCGUGGGAACCUGCCCUUAGUAUCGGACUAACUCCCCGAAGGGGGUGUCAAUACAGUGUAACUACUACGGACCAAAGAUUUAUGGCCUUUGGUUGGGCCCGCGUUGGAUUAGCUGGUUGGUAGGGUAAAAGCCUACCAAGGCGACGAUCCAUAGCUGGUCUGUGAGGAUGAUCAGCCACACUGGGACUGAGACACGGCCCAGACUCCUACGGGAGGCAGCAGUGGGGAAUAUUGGACAAUGGGCGAAAGCCUGAUCCAGCAAUGCCGCGUGAGUGAUGAAGGCCUUAGGGUUGUAAAGCUCUUUUACCCGGGAUGAUAAUGACAGUACCGGGAGAAUAAGCUCCGGCUAACUCCGUG
rnacentral:rRNA from 1 species